ACAUGCGUCUCAUGAACGCAGCGUUCAAGGCAUUACAGGAAAGUUUGAGCAGUGAGCACACCUGUCUGUUUUUUGUGUUUUCUUGUUCGUUGCUGGCUUACUAAAGCUAGCUCGCUUAAAAUACUGUAUUUCGAACCUUUUUUGUUGUUGUUGUUGUAAGAAAAGUGGUGUGUCUGAAGCAAGGUGACCAGCAAGCAAAUAUCGCUCUCAGCAGAUAUCUCUACUUCCUCAGCUUGUGAAUCUGACAUCAAUCACCAUGACUAUUCCACCCAUGACAGCGACAGAGAUGAGUACUACAACGCCACUUCCCACACAUACAGACUCCUCUACUGUCAUUGGAGUGGUCAUCGUAGUUGUACUGCUGAUGCUAGCUGGCCUGGGUUUCCUUCUGUACCGGUACUUGUGCCACAACAAGGGUGCCUACACAACCACAGGAGAACCUUCCCCGGUGGAAGACCCUGAUCAGGCCCACGGUAACAUUGUAACUGACGAAAAGAAGGAGUACUUCAUUUGAACAUGAUGGAAGGAUGAAAAGGAGGAAUGCGAGGAGAACUGUGGGUGGGUGUUAACAAAAUGUUAUCUGCCAAACUGAGAGGAAACAGGAAAAUGACAACCAUCUUUGAUGGCCAUCUACGGGAUUUCCACGGUUUUGGGGAAGACCUACAUAGAUUUAACCCAAGAAAACACUCACUUAUAGGCACAUAAGCUGGGCAGGAGAUGAGAUGCAUUAGUAAAAGAGGUGUGUGUGUGCGCACACUGAUGGGACUUGCAACGUAACAGUUGUGUGCACAUAAAAGAUCGUUGUGAAACACUGGUGGAUGGAAGACUUUAUGAGAUUCUUGCGGGUAAAUGUCUUAAGAUGACAUCAUAAAUAUGCCUCCAUUUCAGUGUCAUCACAAUUCAGUUAUAUAUCUGCUCCCCAUGUCAGCUCUGAAGGCUUUUAAUUUUAUGUUUUACUUUAACAUUUUCUGUAUUUAAUGAAUGAGUAUCCUGGGGUGCUAAAUGGGGAAUUUGAUUUGGUGAUCAGUAGAAGGCACUGAUUAAAUUGUAUUAUUCUUAUGCCAUUAUCCAUACUUUACAAGUUGGGCAAAACGAUAAGGAUUUUACUAUUGUCUAUCUGGGCAGCUAAAUGGAAAAUGUAUUGUAUCUGUUACUAUUACCAGCUAGAGAUUGUAUGAUCUUAUUGAAGUAUCUGCCAAAGGUAGUAAGUGACAUGACAGACCUCAAGACGGCAGGUCAGAUAUGGCAAUAAAGCUUUUUCCUUUUUUCA